GACGAACGCUGGCGGCGUGCUUAACACAUGCAAGUCGAGCGGAAAGGCCCUUCGGGGUCCUCGAGCGGCGAACGGGUGAGUAACACGUGAGUAACCUGCCCCAGACUUUGGGAUAACCCUCGGAAACGGGGGCUAAUACCGGAUACGACACAGCUUCGCAUGGGGUCUGUGUGGAAAGUUUUUCGGUUUGGGAUGGGCUCGCGGCCUAUCAGCUUGUUGGGGGGGUGAUGGCCUACCAAGGCGACGACGGGUAGCCGGCCUGAGAGGGCGACCGGCCACAGGGGGAAUGAGAAAGGGCCCAGACUCCUAGGGGGGGCAGGAGGGGGGAAAAUUGAACAAUGGGGGGAAGCCGGAGGAAGCGACGCGGGGGGGGGGAGGAGGGCCUUGGGGUUGUAAACCGUUUUCAGAGGGGACGAAGGGUAAGUGAGGGUACCGGAAGAAGAAGCGCCGGCAAACUACGU
rnacentral:rRNA from 1 species